rnacentral:rRNA from 1 species
UACGUAGGGUGCGAGCGUUGUCCGGAAUUAUUGGGCGUAAAGAGCUUGUAGGUGGCUCGCUGCGUCGGGAGUGAAAACCUGCGGCUUAACCGCAGGCCUGCUUCCGAUACGGGCGAGCUAGAGUUCGGCAGGGGAGACUGGAAUUCCUGGUGUAGCGGUGGAAUGCGCAGAUAUCAGGAGGAACACCGGUGGCGAAGGCGGUUCUCUGGGCAUUACCUGACGCUGGAGGAGCGAAAGCAUGGGGAGCGAACAGG